rnacentral:rRNA from 1 species
UACGGAGGGAGCUAGCGUUGUUCGGAAUUACUGGGCGUAAAGCGCACGUAGGCGGCGAUUCAAGUCAGAGGUGAAAGCCCGGGGCUCAACCCCGGAACUGCCUUUGAAACUAGAUUGCUAGAAUCCUGGAGAGGUGAGUGGAAUUCCGAGUGUAGAGGUGAAAUUCGUAGAUAUUCGGAAGAACACCAGUGGCGAAGGCGGUUCUCUGGGACGGUACUGACGCUGAGACGCGAAAAGCGUGGGUAGCAAACAGG